rnacentral:lncRNA from 1 species
CGCGCGGGAACCCGGCCCGGCCGUACCCCGCCGGCCUGCCGACCCGGGUCCGGGGGCCCAGUUGGCGCCCGGACCAGCUCUCCGGUCUGCGUCCUGUAGAUGGGAAAACUGAGGCCUGAGAGGGCGCGAGGGCGGGGACGAGGCCGAGGACUCGGGUUCGAAUCUCGAGGACGCCAGUAGCCCGCUCUGAGGCCGCGUGGGGCUGGUGGAGGAGCCACCGGUCGGGCCCCCAAGACCGGCUGACGUGGGCCUCGCCUCGGGCGACUCCCGCCGGGCUAGUGGCUGGCCGUGUGGUGACCUUGGGCGAGUUACUUCGCACAGCCACCCAGGGGCCUCUUCUCCAACACGAUAGCACUGCACCCGGAGGGCCUUCAGACCUGAGCUGAAAUCUACACCACCGGCUCUCUGACUAUCAGGCUUUGGACUAUACUUUGGGCUUUCCUGGGUCUCUUACCUGGCAGACAGCAGAUUUUGGAACUUUUCAGCCUCCAUAAUCAUUUCCCAGAAGAACCACAAAGCAUAAAUUUCCCCAAAAGGGGAAUUUUGUUGAUGGCUUUAGUCUAUUCCCUCCUAAAAGACCAGCUACAACCAAAUGAAGUGAACAUAACCUCAAGGGUGUAUUGUCUUCAUAAUAAAAGAUGAAGCUUAGAACUGGA